UACGUAGGGUGCAAGCGUUGUCCGGAAUUAUUGGGCGUAAAGAGCUCGUAGGCGGUCUGUCGCGUCGGAUGUGAAAACCCAGGGCUCAACCCUGGGCCUGCAUUCGAUACGGGCAGACUAGAGUUCGGUAGGGGAGACUGGAAUUCCUGGUGUAGCGGUGAAAUGCGCAGAUAUCAGGAGGAACACCGGUGGCGAAGGCGGGUCUCUGGGCAGUAACUGACGCUGAGGAGCGAAAGUGUGGGGAGCGAACAGG
rnacentral:rRNA from 1 species